GGGUGCGAUCAUACCAGCACUAAUGCACCGGAUCCCAUUAGAACUCCGAAGUUAAGCGUGCUUGGGCGAGAGUAGUACUAGGAUGGGUGACCCCCUGGGAAGUCCUCGUGUUGCACCC
rnacentral:rRNA from 1 species